rnacentral:misc_RNA from 1 species
UUUCCGUAGGUGAACCUGCGGAAGGAUCAUUCAUAAUAAAGUGUUUUAUGGCACUUUUUAAAAAUCCAUAUCUACCUUGUGUGCAAUGUUAGAUCUCGUCAAUCUUGGCGAGAUUUUUAUACAUCAACUCAUUCUUUAACUAAUUUGUCUGAAAAAUAUUAUGAAUACUUAAUUCAAAAUACAACUUUCAGCAACGGAUCUCUUGGCUCUC